UACGGGGGGGGGCAAGCGUUGUUCGGAAUUACUGGGCGUAAAGGGCGUGUAGGUGGCCAACUAAGUCCGACGUGAAAUCCCCAGGCUUAACCUGGGAACUGCGUCGGAUACUGGUUGGCUUGAGACCGGAAGAGGACAGCGGAACUGCGAGUGUAGAGGUGAAAUUCGUAGAUAUUCGCAAGAACACCAGUGGCGAAGGCGGCUGUCUGGUCCGGUUCUGACGCUGAGGCGCGAAAGCGUGGGGAGCAAACAGG
rnacentral:rRNA from 1 species